AGUGAACGCUGGCGGUAGGCCUAACACAUGCAAGUCGAACGGCAGCACAGUAAGAGCUUGCUCUUACGGGUGGCGAGUGGCGGACGGGUGAGGAAUACAUCGGAAUCUACUUUUUCGUGGGGGAUAACGUAGGGAAAUUUACGCUAAUACCGCAUACGACCUACGGGUGAAAGCAGGGGAUCUUCGGACCUUGCGCGAGUGAAUGAGCCGAUGUCGGAUUAGCUAGUUGGCGGGGUAAAGGCCCACCAAGGCGACGAUCCGUAGCUGGUCUGAGAGGAUGAUCAGCCACACUGGAACUGAGACACGGUCCAGACUCCUACGGGAGGCAGCAGUGGGGAAUAUUGGACAAUGGGCGCAAGCCUGAUCCAGCCAUACCGCGUGGGUGAAGAAGGCCUUCGGGUUGUAAAGCCCUUUUGUUGGGAAAGAAAAGCAGCAGGUUAAUACCCCGCUGUUCUGACGGUACCCAAAGAAUAAGCACCGGCUAACUUCGUG
rnacentral:rRNA from 1 species